UCAGAAUGCUAGGGGUUCUGGCCGAAAGGCCGGGCGAGAUUACACCCUCUGAACCUGAUCUGGGUAAUGCCAGCGAAGGGAAGCGAAAAAUGUGCAUG
rnacentral:ncRNA from 2 species